rnacentral:rRNA from 4 species
CCCUGGCUCAGAUUGAACGCUGGCGGCAGGCCUAACACAUGCAAGUCGAGCGGAUGACAGGAGCUUGCUCCUGAAUUCAGCGGCGGACGGGUGAGUAAUGCCUAGGAAUCUGCCUGGUAGUGGGGGACAACGUUUCGAAAGGAACGCUAAUACCGCAUACGUCCUACGGGAGAAAGCAGGGGACCUUCGGGCCUUGCGCUAUCAGAUGAGCCUAGGUCGGAUUAGCUAGUUGGUGAGGUAAUGGCUCACCAAGGCGACGAUCCGUAACUGGUCUGAGAGGAUGAUCAGUCACACUGGAACUGAGACACGGUCCAGACUCCUACGGGAGGCAGCAGUGGGGAAUAUUGGACAAUGGGCGAAAGCCUGAUCCAGCCAUGCCGCGUGUGUGAAGAAGGUCUUCGGAUUGUAAAGCACUUUAAGUUGGGAGGAAGGGCAUUAACCUAAUACGUUAGUGUUUUGACGUUACCGACAGAAUAAGCACCGGCUAACU